rnacentral:lncRNA from 1 species
GAAAUAGAAUCAAAAGCCUUUUCGAAAUCAAUUAACAAAAAGAGUCCAGGUAUUUCCUGAUCUUCUGUGUAUUGCAUGAUAUCAUAUAAAAGCCUUAUAUUUUCUCCUAUGUACCUCCCACUGAUAAAACCAGUCUGAUCUAGAUUAAUAAGUUUGUCAAGGACAGUCUUAAAUCUAUUUGCAAUUACUGCUGACCCAAUUUUAUAGACAGUGUUUAAAAGUGAAAUAGGACGCCAAUUUUGACAAUAUGAACUUGUUCAUACGAAAGAUUUGAAAAG